rnacentral:rRNA from 1 species
UGGGGGAUAUUGCACAAUGGGGGGAACCCUGAUGCAGCGACGCCGCGUGAGCGAUGAAGUAUUUCGGUAUGUAAAGCUCUACCAGCAGGGAAGAAAAUGACGGUACCUGACUAAGAAGCCCCGGCUAACUACGUGCCAGCAGCCGCGGUAAUACGUAGGGGGCAAGCGUUAUCCGGAUUUACUGGGUGUAAAGGGAGCGUAGACGGCAUAGUAAGUCUGAUGUGAAAGGCGGGGGCUCAACCCCUGGACUGCAUUGGAAACUAUUAAGCUGGAGUGUCGGAGAGGUAAGUGGAAUUCCUAGUGUAGCGGUGAAAUGCGUAGAUAUUAGGAGGAACACCAGUGGCGAAGGCGGCUUACUGGACGAUCACUGACGUUGAGGCUCGAAAGCGUGGGGAGCAAACAGG